GGCAGGCCUAACACAUGCAAGUCGAGGGGCAGCACGGUGUAUCAAUACACUGGUGGCGACCGGCGCACGGGUGCGUAACGCGUAUGCUACCUACCCAUAACAGGGGGAUAACACUGAGAAAUUGGUACUAAUACCCCAUAACAUCAGGACCGGCAUCGGUUCUGGUUGAAAACUCCGGUGGUUAUGGAUGGCCAUGCGUUGUAUUAGCUGGUUGGUGAGGUAACGGCUCACCAAGGCAACCAUACAUAGGGGGACUGAGAGGUUACCCCCCCCACAUUUGGUAUUGAGACACGGACCCAAACUCCUACGGGAGGCAGCAGUGAGGAAUAUUGGUCAAGGGACGCAAGUCUGAACCAGCCAUGCCGCGUGCAGGAAGACGGCUCUAUGAGUUAGUAAACUGCUUUUGUACGAGGGUAAACGCUCUUACGUGUAAGAGCCUGAAAGUAUCGUACGAAUAAGGAUCGGCUAACUCCGUGCCAGCAGCCGCGGUAAUACGGAGGAUCCAAGCGUUAUCCGGAUUUAUUGGGUUUAAAGGGUGCGUAGGCGGUUUGAUAAGUUAGAGGUGAAAUACCGGUGCUUAACACCGGAACUGCCUCUAAUACUGUUGAACUAGAGAGUAGUUGCGGUAGGCGGAAUGUAUGGUGUAGCGGUGAAAUGCUUAGAGAUCAUACAGAACACCGAUUGCGAAGGCAGCUUACCAAACUAUAUCUGACGUUGAGGCACGAAAGCGUGGGGAGCAAACAGGAUUCGAUACCCUGGUAGUCCACGCAGUAAC
rnacentral:rRNA from 1 species